rnacentral:rRNA from 1 species
UUUAUGGAGAGUUUGAUCCUGGCUCAGGAUGAACGCUGGCGGCGUGCCUAAUACAUGCAAGUCGAGCGAACAGAUAAGGAGCUUGCUCCUUUGACGUUAGCGGCGGACGGGUGAGUAACACGUGGGUAACCUACCUAUAAGACUGGAAUAACUCCGGGAAACCGGGGCUAAUGCCGGAUAACAUGUUGAACCGCAUGGUUCUACAGUGAAAGACGGUCUUGCUGUCACUUAUAGAUGGACCCGCGCCGUAUUAGCUAGUUGGUGGGGUAACGGCCUACCAAGGCGACGAUACGUAGCCGACCUGAGAGGGUGAUCGGCCACACUGGAACUGAGACACGGUCCAGACUCCUACGGGAGGCAGCAGUAGGGAAUCUUCCGCAAUGGGCGAAAGCCUGACGGAGCAACGCCGCGUGAGUGAUGAAGGUCUUCGGAUCGUAAAGCUCUGUUGUUAGGGAAGAACAAAUGUGUAAGUAACUGUGCACAUCUUGACGGUACCUAACCAGAAAGCCACGGCUAACUACGUGCCAGCAG